AAGCUGGGCAGACCUUUGUAACUGCUGUAACAGAAUACAGCAGGAUGACAUCUGUGACUUCUGAGGGUAGGUCAUAACAAUACCAUGUACUUUUGCAUUGUUCUUUUGGGAUGCUUCGUCUUGUAAUCCAGUCACUAUGCUGUGAAGAAGCUCAGCCGCAUGUAUUGGCCAGAAUUUAGGCAUUCUGGCUGACAGCCAGCCUCAACCUUAGCCUUCAAGAUACCCCAGUGCCAGACAUUUGAUGGCAAAUGCAUGUCAGAUUUGGAGCAGGAACCAUGAGUUGAGCCCAGUCAACCUCAUAA